rnacentral:tRNA from 1 species
ACUCGCGCGGGCUGGGUUCGACGAGCAGGUCGUUCGGGCCGAGCUCGGGCAGCUGCUCACGCACGGCCUCGGCGUGCGAGGCGCCCGUGACGA